CCAUUUAAAGAGUGCGUAACAGCUCACUAGUCUAGUUUUUUGGCGCCACAAGUAUAACGGGGCUAAGCUUAAUACCGAAUUUUUGGAUGGUGACAUAGAAUGUCAAGCAUGGUAGACAAAUGUUGUAUAGGGGUUGAAGCUUGAGCGUGAGCAUGAGUGGACUAUAUACAAGUAAGAAUUCCGGCGUGAGUAACGAAUGAAAGUGAGAAUCUUUCUAGCCGAUUGAUCAAGGUUUCUGGGGCUAGGCUCGUCCUCCUCAGGUAAGUCGAUCCUAAGUUGAGGCCGAAAGGCGUAGAUGAUGGGCAACGGGUUAAUAUUCCCGUACUACCUUGAACGUUCGAUGGGUUGACAGAAAAGGUUAAACUGGGAGGGUUAUUGGAUUCCCUUUUAAGAUUUUGAGUACGUUGAGUAUGAAAAUCAACUCAACAUAAGUGCAAGGAUUGAAUACGAUCUCGGCCAGCAAUGGUUGGGAAAGCCAGACUUAAUCAUAUUCUCCAGAAAAGACUCUAAGAGACAAAGACGUUCAAGGUACUCGUACCGAUAACGAACACACGUGAUCAAGGAGAAUAUCCUAAGGCUAGCGAGCGAACUACAGUUAAGGAACUCUGCAAAAUGACUCUGUAACUUCGGGAGAAAGAGUGCCCGCAUAGAAUGCGGGUCACAGUAAAGAAUGAGGGCGGACUGUUUAACAAAAACACAGCUAUAUGCAAAAUUCAAACAUGAAGUAUAUGUGGCGACACCUGCCCGGUGCCAGAAGGUCAAAGAA
rnacentral:rRNA from 1 species